ACCUUCAACCCUUCCUGGACAACCGUGUCCAGGCUGUGUGUUGCCCUCGCUUUGAUCUGAUGGUGCUGAUCCUGCUGUACCUCACGCCUUAAUACGAGCAGUGUGAAAGUGGACAUAACCAUCCCUGCAUGGGAAUGUGCAUGCAGAGGAGAAGCCAGAAGCACAGCCCCUGACAACUCCUUGUGCCUGGCAAGCGCAGCAGGUGGACUUCCCAUAGGGAAUUGGGAUAUUUCUGGAUGCCUGUGUAGAGCAAGCUGUCACUCCAGCCAGGUGUGCUGCCUAAAACCUUGAAGGAGAUGGAUAUUUCUGCUGUGGAAGAAAAUUACCUUUUACAGAAAGGUUGAAUGUUCAUCACAACUGCAAAACCGCCUGCUAUGCAAAGAAGCCAACUUUUGUAUACAUAAGGACACAGUAGAGUAAAAGCUAUACAGAAAAACUUUAAAGAGCCAACAGUAAGUCAAAGGAAGCAUGUUAGAAUGUUUAAUUUCUACAGACACAUAUCACAGCAAGAC